GAUGAACGCUGGCGGCGUGCCUAAUACAUGCAAGUCGAGCGAACGGACGAGAAGCUUGCUUCUCUGAUGUUAGCGGCGGACGGGUGAGUAACACGUGGAUAACCUACCUAUAAGACUGGGAUAACUUCGGGAAACCGGAGCUAAUACCGGAUGAUAUUUUGAGCCGCAUGGUUCAAAAGUGAAAGACGGUCUUGCUGUCACUUAUAGAUGGAUCCGCGCUGCAUUAGCUAGUCGGUAAGGUAACGGCUUACCAAGGCAACGAUGCAUAGCCGACCUGAGAGGGUGAUCGGCCACACUGGAACUGAGACACGGUCCAGACUCCUACGGGAGGCAGCAGUAGGGAAUCUUCCGCAAUGGGCGAAAGCCUGACGGAGCAACGCCGCGUGAGUGAUGAAGGUCUUCGGAUCGUAAAACUCUGUUAUUAGGGAAGAACAUAUGUGUAAGUAACUGUGCACAUCUUGACGGUACCUAAUCAGAAAGCCACGGCUAACUACGUG
rnacentral:rRNA from 1 species